rnacentral:rRNA from 1 species
UACGGGGGGGGCAAGCGUUGUUCGGAAUUACUGGGCGUAAAGGGCUCGUAGGCGGCCAACUAAGUCAGACGUGAAAUCCCUAGGCUCAACCUAGGAACUGCGUCUGAUACUGGAUGGCUUGAAUCCGGGAGAGGGAUGCAGAAUUCCAGGUGUAGCGGUGAAAUGCGUAGAUAUCAGGAGGAACACCCGUAGCGAAGGCGGCACUCUGGGCCGAUACUGACACUGAGGAGCGAAAGCGUGGGGAGCCAACAGG